CCUACGGGAGGCAGCAGUGGGGAAUUUUCCGCAAUGGGCGAAAGCCUGACGGAGCAACGCCGCGUGAGGGAUGAAGGCCUCUGGGCUGUAAACCUCUUUUCUCAAGGAAGAAGAUCUGACGGUACUUGAGGAAUAAGCCACGGCUAAUUCCGUGCCAGCAGCCGCGGUAAUACGGGAGUGGCAAGCGUUAUCCGGAAUUAUUGGGCGUAAAGCGUCCGCAGGCGGCCCUUCAAGUCUGCUGUUAAAAAGUGGAGCUUAACUCCAUCAUGGCAGUGGAAACUGUUGGGCUUGAGUGUGGUAGGGGCAGAGGGAAUUCCCGGUGUAGCGGUGAAAUGCGUAGAUAUCGGGAAGAACACCAGUGGCGAAGGCGCUCUGCUGGGCCAUAACUGACGCUCAUGGACGAAAGCCAGGGGAGCGAAAGGGAUUAGAUACCCCUGUAGUCCUGGCCGUAAACGAUGAACACUAGGUGUCGGGGGAAUCGACCCCCUCGGUGUCGUAGCCAACGCGUUAAGUGUUCCGCCUGGGGAUUACUCACCAAGUGUGAAACUCAAAGGAAUUGACGG
rnacentral:rRNA from 1 species